UGGACAAAACCAAGGCCGAACGAAACCAAAAUCAUCAAAAAACUACAAUCAAAACCGCUGAUGAACUGAACAAGAACUAGCUAGGAAUCAAAACGUGCUGGAACCGAACUGGUCCAAUUCCAGUUCAACCCCUCCCUGGACAAAACCAAGGCCGAACGAAACCAAAAUCAUCAAAAAACUACAAUCAAAACCGCUGAUGAACUGAACAAGAACUAGCUAGGAAUCAAAACGUGCUGGAACCGAACUGGUCCAAUUCCAGUUCAACCCCUCCCCAUACACUAAAAUGCCGAUUAUGGCCUAGAAUCGGCUUGGACCAAAUCGGUGGCCAGACCUACCAAGGUUUACAUGUAAGGGAUGCACCACCAAGGUAACAACUAUUCAUUAGCUAAGAUAUAGCAUCUAUCUAAGUCUAACUUAUCACAUUUAUGAGCAGGAGCAUAUGACUUUUAAAAAUUAUGUGUAGAAUUUAUGUUUUAUAAAUAUGCCCUCAAUUAUUUAUCUUUAUCCCAACUCAAUUGCUGAAAUUGCUCCCAUUAUAUAGUGUUAGUGUUUUUAUAAAAUUACCCCACUCAAUUACUUCUCUUUGAUGUCUCAUGGUGCAAAUUAUUUGCAGUUGAUGUUGUCUUAAUAAUGAAACUAGUGGAGUUAACAAAAAUUAGAGUUGUGGAGAAGGACUCCUAGAAACAAGAGUUUUAGGCUAAGCAUAAAUAAGACGGAAUACGUGCACUGUGAGUUAAACGUUCGUAGAAGGAAUUAGAUGGAGUUUAUGUACCAAAAUGUCCUGUUGGCAUUGAGAUUCUGGACUAAAAUGCGCUUUUCAAAAAAAUCAUCAUUUUAGAUGUUGAAAAAAAGCAAUUUGUAAUAAGUUCUUCUAUUAUUUUGAUAUUCUUAUGACUAGAACAUAUUAAAUUUAAUUUUACAUCAAUUUUUAAUAUCAUCUAACUAACAUAUUUAGAAAAAUAAUUUUUUUCAACAACAGUUUUAGCAGUAAUGCCAAAUAAGCCCGAAUAAAUAAAUAUGUAACUCAUAGGAUCAAAACAGAAUGGAUGAAAUGGAGUACAAUGGUUAUGCUAUGCAAACAUAGGAUCCCUGACAAAAUGAAAUGCAAGUUCUAUAAAAUUAUAGUCAAACCAGCUACGUUGUAUUGUAUAUGAAUGAAUGUUGAGCAUCUAAAAUACAAUAUACCCAUCAAAUGACUCUGGUAGAAAAAAAGAUGUUUAUAUGGAUGUCGGUAGCAUGAUAAUGAAUAAGUAUAGGAAUGACCACAUCUCCCAAAGAGUGAAUGUAGCAUGCAUCGGAGAUAAAAUGAGAGUGUCGAUUAAAAUAGUUUGAUCAUGUCUAACAUUAAGUAUCAAAUGCCCCAGUACAGAAGUGAUAUGUUAGUGUUGAAAGAAGUGAAAAGGAAAAAUGGAGACCUAAAAUGACAGAGGGAAGUAGCAUUAAAAAAAAUUCUCAUUUUU
rnacentral:misc_RNA from 1 species